CCUACGGGAGGCAGCAGUGGGGAAUAUUGGACAAUGGGCGAAAGCCUGAUCCAGCAAUGCCGCGUGGGUGAAGAAGGUCUUCGGAUCGUAAAGCCCUUUCGACGGGGACGAUGAUGACGGUACCCGUAGAAGAAGCCCCGGCUAACUUCGUGCCAGCAGCCGCGGUAAUACGAAGGGGGCUAGCGUUGCUCGGAAUUACUGGGCGUAAAGGGCGCGUAGGCGGCGGCCCAAGUCAGGCGUGAAAUUCCUGGGCUCAACCUGGGGACUGCGCUUGAUACUGGGUUGCUUGAGGAUGGAAGAGGCUCGUGGAAUUCCCAGUGUAGAGGUGAAAUUCGUAGAUAUUGGGAAGAACACCGGUGGCGAAGGCGGCGAGCUGGUCCAUUACUGACGCUGAGGCGCGACAGCGUGGGGAGCAAACAGGAUUAGAUACCCUGGUAGUC
rnacentral:rRNA from 1 species